GACUACUACAAACAAGGAGUGGGGCAAGGAGUGGGGAGCCAAGCCUAUAAAAACCGGGUAGUUCAUAGCAUUGGUCUUUUUCGUUCGCCAACUCUCGAGGAGCGCAGACGGUGUGUGUGACGUGUUUUGCUGUAAUCGGUUUAUUAUUAUUUUAAUUACUUAAGAUUGGUGAUUUGUUCGAUUUAUUAUUUAAAUAUCUUUAUAAAAUUGUUAUAAUUUUGUAAUAAUAAGUAUUAAAUCAUUUGUGUUGCUACCGUCUUCUUUUUUUUAAUUAUUUUCCACUUCUGAUGCUAAAAUCAGAAGUGGGAUAAAGAACUUAAAUGCCCACUAUAACUUUCGAUCUGUUUAAUAUAAGAUCAACAAAGCACCAAUCUUCUUUUGUUUUUAUAUUUCCUAUAUGUGCAUGAACAAUUGUUGUUUAACAUUAUGUGUGAUAAGCAGAGUCAGUCGCGCAGCAAGACGCGUCGACACGACCGUGAUAGUAGAUCGCGUGAUAGGUCGCAUAGUAGAUCGCAUGUUAGAUCACGCCAUAGGUCGACUUAUAGAUCACCUACUAGAUCGCGAGAUAGGAUGCAAACAUCACAGCCUAGGUUACGGAAUAAACGUACUAACACGCCUCCUCGCCAACCCAUAGUAUCCCAUAAUUCGAUGCAAGAAACCUUACAAGCGAUAUUGACGCGAUUAAAUACAUUAGAAAAAAACUAUUCCACAAAUAAUCAUAGUGAUAAUACUUGUCAACAUAAUCUCGAAUUACCCACCAUUUCCGAUGUAACAUUUAACUGUUCUACGCCAAGUAGGAAUGUCACCGUAACUAAAGUACAGCAAAAUAACGUAUCGAAUAUUCCCAUUCAUGUGACUACCCCACCUGGGGAUCGCCAACUGGACACAUCCCGGUCCGAUAUUAUUAUUAACAAUGUUGAUCAAGCUUUCCGCGAAGAUAGGGUAGUAGAUAGUACGCAAGCAUUAGCAGACGCGAUUAAAUCUAUUAGUUCACAACGGUCGCAACCCUAUUUUGUGUCUAGUUUUGAUCCCUCACUUCAUAAUAUCGAGGUAUGGUGUGCAGAGGUUGAACGCGCUAAGGAUACUAACGGGUGGAGUGAUUCGGAGUGUUUGUCACGUGUAUCGAAAUGCCUCAGGGGUGACGCGCGCACUUGGUUAGACGAGUGGGUAACUAAUGAAAGGACAUGGUCCAAUUUUCUACAAGAAUUUAAACCACUUUGUCCGCGUACACUUGACUAUGCCAAUAUACUAUUCGAUAUUAUGAAAACAACUUCCGAAAAAUUUUGUACUUAUGCUGAAUACGCUCGACGUAGCCUAUUACGUUUACGUGUAGUAAAGGGACUAAGUGAGGAGCUCAUGACACUAAUAAUCAUACGCGGUAUUAGUGACCCUCAAAUCCGAGCCGCCGCAGCGAAUGCUAAUUUGACUUGCGACAACAUAGUGUCGUUUCUUAAUAUUUACGUUAAACCUAGCAAUAGUACGGCAACAAGAAAUAAUCUAGGAAAGCGCCCCUUACCUUUAAAUCAUAUGAAAGGUCCCCUUAGGUGUUUUAACUGUGGUCAGUCUGGACAUAAAAGGUUGAAUUGCACGAAAAAGCCAAAGGACACUGUUGUUUCUACCCACGCUAUUGUUGAUUCUUCUGAAUCUACGCAGCGAUCUGUCACUUCGGAAUACAAAACCACAAAAUGUGACUUUUGUAAGAAACCGGGCCAUCGCGAGGAAAAUUGUUUCGCGAAAGAAAGAUCGAACAUGCGUAAUAAACGAAACGUAAAUUUAUGCACUACCCUUUUGUUAACGGAUCCCUCUCGAAGCAAAGACGUAGUAACAGCGGUAAUACAGGGUAUUCCCGUUGAUGCACUCAUUGAUAGUGGCGCCUUGAAUAUUUCGCUUAUAUCAUCCGGGGUAGUAAAAUAUUUUUCAUGUGAAUUAAAACCUAUUAAUUGUGCGUUAAAGGGAAUCAGUGCAACAGUAAUUCAUGCCAAUUCUUAUGUAACGUUGACUAUCGAAUUUGAUGAAAUUACUCUUGAAGCGGAUUUUGUAGUCGUUCCAGAGUCAUGCAUCGCAUUUCCUUUGAUAAUAGGUACGGAUAUACUUAAUCGCGAUAGUGUCACUUAUGUUAGGUCUAAAGAUAAACAAUAUUUAACGCGUUCACCUAUGACACAACAGCAAGUAAAUACGGUAGUCCCCAAUACAAAAGACCAAAUCAAUACACCUCUUCAAGGUGAUGAUCGCAAUUUGCUCAUGUUAGUGAUUAAUGACUUUUCAAAUUAUUUGAUAUCUGGUACAGCUUCAACAACUGUUACUACAGGCAAAAUGAGUAUUGUCGUUAAGGAUGAUACUCCUAUAGCUUAUAGACCGUAUAGAUUAUCACAUCAAGAGAAACUCAAAGUUCGUGAAAUAGUACAUGAUUUAAAAGAAAAAGGUAUCAUUCGCGAUUCAAAUUCAGAAUAUGCUAGUCCCAUUCUUCUUGUGAAAAAGAAAGAUGGCAGCGAUCGAAUGUGCGUUGACUUCCGAGCAUUAAAUCGAGUAACUGUUAGAGACCGUUAUCCUAUGCCUCUCAUUGACGACCAUAUAGAUCGAUUAGAUUAGAACUUUAAAUAUUUUUCGAGUUUAGAUAUGGCUACUGGCUUUCAUCAAAUCCAAAUAGAUGAGAAAUCUAUACACCGAACGGCAUUUGUCACUCCAGAGGGUCAUUUUGAAUAUUUAAAGAUGCCCUACGGAUUGACUAACUCUCCGAUUGUAUCAUUAACGAAACCCUUCGCAAACAUAUUGAGGCUGGUAAUGUGUUAGUUUACGUAGAUGACGUCUUACUGAUGAGUCACACAGUCGAAGAAGGUAUUAACCUGUUGAGAGACGUGUUAACGACUCUGACAAAUGCGGGCUUUUCUAUUAACUUGCGGAAAUGUACCUUUCUCUCGAUGCAAGUAGAAUACCUAGGGCGUAUGGUGAGCCAAGGUCAGGUUAGGCCGAGCCCCAGUAAGGUGAAAGCACUGGUGAACGCCCCGGCUCCCGCAAACGUUAAACAGGUUAGGCAGUUCUUAGGCUUGUCAGGUUAUUUUAGACGUUACAUAAAAAAUUAUGCAACCAAAACCGCUUUCAUAUCACGCCUAACUAAGAAAAAUAUUGACUUUUGUUGGACACCGGAGCAAGAACGUGCGCGUCAGGAAAUCAUAACUUAUCUAACCAGUGAACCCAUAUUAGCUAUUUUUAAUCCCUUAAUUAUCGCUAUUCUCCAGUAGGCGAUGAACCGGGACUACUUUGUUUUAUACCAAAGGGGCAUCGGUUAAGUUUGUUGAGAAUAUUUCAUGACGGACACGAACAUAUAGGCGCGGACAAAACUCUAGAUUUAAUACUUAAACAUUUUUGGUUUCCUGGAUUACGACAAUUUGUUAACAAAUACGUUACGCAUUGUUUAGUAUGUUUAUCCAAAAAAACGUGUACCCAGGGCUCCACACCAGCUAAUAACUUCAUGGAAAAAGCCAGACACCCCUUUUGAUACUUUGCACUUAGACGCUUUAGGACCAUUGCCCGAGUCCAACGGUUAUAGAUUUGUGUUACUAAUAGUAGAUGCUUUUACAAAGUUUUGUAUGUUAUAUGCAAUACAUAGGCAAGACGCAGGCGAACUUGUACGUAUACUCACUAAUGCUAUAUCAUUAUUCGGUGUACCAAGAUUAUUAGUAACAGACCGUGGGCGAAUGUUUGAAUCGUCCAUUUUUACUAAGUUCAUCUCCGAACUCGGUUGUUCAAUACAUUAUAUAACACCUGAGAUGCAUCACUCUAACGGUCAGAUAGAACGGUACGUGCGGACCGUACUUAACAUGAUUAGAAUCGAAGCCAACCAUAAGAUGGCGUCAUAGUCAGAUCAGCUAUGGCGGCUUCAACUCAUCUUGAAUAUUACCAAACAAAUGACGACACAGACGUCAGCUCUGAACCUGCUUGUUGGCACUGAAGCAACGACGCCACUUAUCCGUUUACUGGUACGAGACGUAGCAGUGGAAGGAUCUUUAUGUAAUAGGGAAGGUUGGCGCGAAAUUCGAAGGGCGAGGGCCAACGAAUUAUUGGAGAAAAAUCGGGAAUGUCAAAAUAAUUACGUUAAUCGAAAUCGGUGUGCACCUCGUAUUUUUAAAGUCAAUGACUUAGUGUUUGUCAUUAAAUACUCGCAAUCAACGGGUAAGUUGGACCCAGGAAUGCGAGGACCGUACAAAGUCACCAGGAUUUUGCCUAGUGGCCGCUAUGAGUUGAAAUUGUUGAGUGGGUCAUACGGGAAGACUACACAAGCGGCAGCAGAAUACAUGGUUCAGUGGCACGGGGAAUGGUGUCCCGAAACGUGCGCCUCAUUUUUUGCAAAUAACUCUGAUGAUAGUGAUCCUAUAGCAGGACCAUCGGGAUCACAAGGAAGCACCUGCACGCCACAGAACGUCUUAGAGGAAGACCUGUGUCUAUCAUCGAGCACUGACGAAGAUGCUAGAGUCGAGGACGACUCUACGUCAGGAUAGGCCGUGUUAGAUAUUAAGACUACUACAAACAAGGAGUGGGGCAAGGAGUGGGGAGCCAAGCCUAUAAAAACCGGGUAGUUCAUAGCAUUGGUCUUUUUCGUUCGCCAACUCUCGAGGAGCGCAGACGGUGUGUGUGACGUGUUUUGCUGUAAUCGGUUUAUUAUUAUUUUAAUUACUUAAGAUUGGUGAUUUGUUCGAUUUAUUAUUUAAAUAUCUUUAUAAAAUUGUUAUAAUUUUGUAAUAAUAAGUAUUAAAUCAUUUGUGUUGCUAC